rnacentral:lncRNA from 1 species
GAUUCGCAAUGACCAUAAGAGGGUUUACGGACGACCUAAAUGCCACAAUAUGCAUAAAAAAUGAGGGAAAAUAAAAAAAGAAGAUGUGGUAUCAUUGCCAAUGAAACAAACAUCCACAAAAGACCAAAAUGACACAGACAUCAACAACUAUAGCUCACCGUACAGCCUACAACAAUGAGCAAAGCCCAUACCGCAUAGUCAGCUAUAAAAGGCCCC